GUUGACCUCGGAUCAGGUAGGGACACCCGCUGAACUUAAGCAUAUCAAUAAGCGGAGGA
rnacentral:rRNA from 1 species